CCAAGGAGUUUAACAUGUGCGCGAGUCAUUGGGUCUUGCACAGGCCCAAAGGCGCAAUGAAAGUGAAGGUCGGCUUUCGCCGUCCGCGUUGGGAUCCGGGGCUUCGGCUUCGGCGCACCAACGGCUCGUCCAGGUCGCCACGUCGACCGGGCGAAGCUAGAGCGUACACGUUGAGACCCGAAAGAUGGUGAACUAUGGCUGGGCAGGACGAAGCCAGAGGAAACUCUGGUGGAGGUCCGCAGCGGUUCYGACGUGCAAAUCGAUCGUCAGACCUGGCUAUAGGGGCGAAAGACUAAUCGAACCAUCUA
rnacentral:rRNA from 1 species